CCAACCCAAUCGUCCAAAUCCCCAAUCCCUUUCUACCUCUUUCUCUUUCUUCCCGUGCAAACUCAGUCCUCAUUUCUCUACCUCCUACAGAAACUAGCAAAUCAGGCUGCCGGGGAGGCGGGGAGACAUUGAGCAGCGUGCGAGCGCAGCAAGCCACAGCCAGGGCUUGCCGACCGACGGCAGCCGCGUCGCCCCUUGCUCAGCCAGUCAGCCCGCAACGCUCGCGAGCCGCAGAGGGCGCGAGCAACCCAGCAGGUUCAGAUAACCGCUGUUGCUUCAUGUAGAGGUAGAUCUCAUCAAUUAGCUGGACCUCCGCAUAGCAGUUUCCAGUUCGUGGUGGAUCCGUAAACCACCUGCAUACAGGGCCAAGUCUGAAGUAACUAGUCCGUGUUCAUUUUUCCAUCGGAGAAAGCAAUAGCAUGGACAAUAUAAGUGCGGCGCCAAGGGUUCUCUCAUUCCAGCUGUUAAAUGAAAUCACAAAUGGUUUCUCCAAGGACAUGAAAAUUGGCGCGGGUUCAUAUGGAAAUGUUUAUAAGGGAGAGCAUAAAAAUGGGGAAAUGAUUGCUGUGAAGGUACUUCAUUCCAUUCCAGGACUUGAUAAUGAGCAAUUUGCAAAGGAGUAUCAGAACCUUGCAAGUCUGCAACACGAAAACAUUGUGCAGUUAGUUGGUUAUAGCCAUGAAACUCUGGGAGAAUUCAGACAUCACGAAGGUAGAAUGAUUUUAGUUGAGACGAUAAAGAGAGCGCUUUGCUUCGAGUAUAUGCAAAACGGGAACCUUGAAAGGUUUCUUGCUGAUGAAUCUAAUGGACAUGAUUGGCACACACAUUAUGCCAUAAUCAAGGGGAUUUGUCAGGGUUUGAGAUACCUUCAUGAGGAAUUGGUUCCUCCUAUGUAUCAUCUGGAUUUAAAACCAGCCAAUAUACUGCUAGAUAAAAAGAUGGUGCCCAAAAUCGCAGAUUUUGGUUUGUCAAGGAUCUUUGAAGGAGAACAAACACAAAUUACAAAAGUGCUAUUGGAACACAUGGGUACGUACCGCCUGAAUAUAUCGACGCCGCUAUAAUCUCUAUUAAGUUUGACAUAUACAGUUUGGGCGUGGUAAUCAUAAAGUUAAUGACAGGACCAAUGGGCUACUUUAGAAGUGCUGAAAUGUCGCCUGAACAAUUCAUAGAACUUGUACAUGCGAACUGGAAGAAAAGGCUACAAACAACAUCAAUUUACACAUUGCAGCAACAUUCUGAACAAGUAAAGAGAUGCAUCGAAAUAGCUUUAAGCUGUGUGGACGCCGAUCGACACAAAAGGCCAAGUAUAGGGGCAAUCAUUAAUAUGCUGAAUGAGACGGAAGGGAACAAACCAGGGAGCGUACAGAUGGUGAUCAAGAACAACAAAAUGGCCCCAUUGUUGGAGCAUAAGAAAAAGGUGAUGUUGCAGCUCGCCUGCAGUGACUACACCGGUGACUGGCCGGGUCUCGAUCUGGUGGCCGUCCUAGACAUCAGCUUCGGAAUGUUCAGCCCGAAGAUGGAGAAGGUCCAGACCGCCUUGCGGUUUAUCAUGCGGAAGCUCAGCCCCAUCGACCGCAUCUCCAUCAUCACAUUCUCAGGUUUUGUCAGAGAGUUAUGUUCACUUAGGCAGAUGACUGCAGCCUCGCAGCUGGACCUAGACGAGCUCAUUGAAAGUCUUGGCGACACCCAUGUCCAUGUAUACAGUGAAUCCAACAUUGAGAAUGCCCUCUUAGUCGGGGUCAAGGUCCUCGCCGAGCGCAAAGUCAGCAGCGGCCGCGUCGUAGCCAUCAUGCUCAUGUCCGCAUCCCCGUCGUCCUGGGUGGGCGAAUGCAGCUGGACUAACGUGCCUGUCUACACGUUUGGUUACGGCACAAACGUGAGCCCACGGGUGCUCAAUUCGAUCGCAAUUGCAAGCAUUGGGGGUAUGUUCUCCCACGUCCAGGACACUGACAGUGGCGACCUGACCAUUGCCUUCUCCCAGUGCCUCGCUGGCCUCCUUACCAUCUCAGUUCAGGACCUCGAGCUGAUGGUGGCAGCCGUCGGAGGCGGGUCAGUGAUAGUGAACGUGACCGCCGGGAGCUACAGGCGGAAGCAUGAUGCGUCUGGCCUGGUGACCAUAAGCUUUGGUGACCUCUACAGAAGGGAAGUGCGCAACGUCAUUGUUGAGCUUCACCUCCCAGCAACAGUGAGCGAGCGUGAUGCUGAUAUCCUCAAGGUCUCAUACUCAUACACCAGCAGCUCUUCAGCUGGAAGCCUGCAGUUUGUUGCCCCUCCUGAGACGCUGACCGUGUGGCGCGCCAACAUGGAUGAGUUGCCGUUGCCGAUGGAGCUACAUAUGGAGGAAGUCCGCCUGUUGAUGGCGAGAACCAUGAUGUGGCCCGUUGUGGAGGACGAGUUAAAGUCUCAGAACAUGUUAAAGGCGAUCCAGAGCAUGCUGGAGGACGUGGAGUUGGGCGAUCCACUGCUCAGAAUCGAGAUGCUUGAGCUCAUGGAGCUCUGUAAGACCGAAGAAACCUGCAUGGAGCACUGCCGCGCCUAUGCCUAUGCGUACUCGUCAGAGUCUUCUCACUACCGGCAGCGUUUCACGAUGAGGGGUCGCAACAUGGAGAUGCUGCGUCUCUUUGCAACACCACGCAUGGACAUGUACCUGGAGCAGGCUAAGAAGUUCCACGACGACCCGACGACACCGCUGCCAUCGGCGGACGACGACCUCGAGGAGGAGAUCGGUGCUCAUCCCAUCCAUGUUGCCAGCAGGGAAGAGGAGAUAAAGAGACUGAGCUUGGACGUGGAGGACCCGACGACAAUGGAUGCGGAGGACCCGACGAUACCACUGUCGUCUCAUUCGAGGGAGGCUUCUUCUAGGAGAAACGCCAAUUUUUUUAAUAUGUUCACAAGGCGACCAUUUUUUAGGUGAGUUCUUAUCACAAAUAUGCCACUGGAAACUGGCUAACUGAGUUUGAACAGCAAAUCUGACGAGCUGGAUCGACACGUGCGUAGCUCACAUGCAUGGAUGAGUCGGAAAGGGGACCGCCUGUCAGCAAUCUUUUUGUUUACCUUUCUCCUUCUUCCUCUGUCCUGUUCAAUGAAUCGCCUCGCCCAGGGGAUACCACGAAAGCAUCCACACCGGCGUGCAGAUCCAGCGGACCAUGUCCACCUCAGCAUGGUGUCUGCGUGAGCUAUGCCAUUCAUGUCACCUCUGGCGGGAGAACCCCACAACGCCGUUUUCCCUGUCAAACUGGUGGGCUUUUUAAAAAUAAUUUCAAAAAAGAAAAUAGUGGUGCUUUUAUCAUCAAUGUUGGCAGCAGGGAACAGGAGAGAAGAGAUUGAGCUUGGACAUGGAAGACUAAGUAAGCAGACAUUGACAACUCUCGAGCUUGUAUAUAACCUGCUGUUACCGAAUCUCAAGGUGCUAAACUAAUUAAGCUCUGCUUCAUUAUGUUUCUUCCUCGAGCUAUUGCUAAUCUGCUGUGAUCAUAUACUAGCGCCCUGUUUGGCUUCCGAGAUUUGAAUUUGAUUCAUUCAAAUUUUCCAUUGGGUACUUUUUCUCGGAUCUUCUGCUUGAUUUUUUGGGCCACGAUGAUGAAGUGCUUUUGGUCCAUUUCAGUGUUUCUCGAUUCUAUAUACAGUUACAGGGAGCAAAUAUACAUCUGUUACAAAACAUUCUUUGGGUAGAAAUACGACUCCUAGUUUUGAAAGGAUAUAAAUAUAUGUU